UAGAAAUUAGAAUUUGGCUUACCCAGAGCUUUGAUUUGAGUAUAAUCAUGCCUAGGUUC
rnacentral:sRNA from 1 species